rnacentral:rRNA from 1 species
GCAACGAGCGCAACCCCCGCCGUUAGUUGCCAGCGGUUCGGCCGGGCACUCUAACGGGACUGCCCGCGAAAGCGGGAGGAAGGAGGGGACGACGUCUGGUCAGCAUGGCCCUUACGGCCUGGGCGACACACGUGCUACAAUGCCCACUACAAAGCGAUGCCACCCGGCAACGGGGAGCUAAUCGCAAAAAGGUGGGCCCAGUUCGGAUUGGGGUCUGCAACCCGACCCCAUGAAGCCGGAAUCGCUAGUAAUCGCGGAUCAGCCAUGCCGCGGUGAAUACGUUCCCGGGCCUU